rnacentral:rRNA from 1 species
GACAGAGGUGCCAAGCGUUAGGCGGAAUUACUGGGCGUAAAGCGUGCGCAGGCGGCUUUGCAAGACAGAUGUGAAAUCCCCGGGCUUAACCUGGGAACUGCAUUUGUGACUGCAUGGCUGGAGUGCGGCAGAGGGGGAUGGAAUUCCGCGUGUAGCAGUGAAAUGCGUAGAUAUGCGGAGGAACACCGAUGGCGAAGGCAAUCCCCUGGGCCUGCACUGACGCUCAUGCACGAAAGCGCGGGGAGCAAACAGG